rnacentral:misc_RNA from 1 species
UGUCUGGGUACCAGGGAAAGGC